ACUCCAAGAAUUGGUUGAAACUUAGAAAUGACAAAGAUGAUGCUCAAAUUCUUGGAACCUUGUUCUAAAUUGAAUCACUCCACAAGUCGCACUUGAUCAAGAUCUGAUUGUACAAGAAUUGGUUGAAAUUUAGAAAUGACAAAGAAGUUGAAAUUUAGAAAUGACGAAGAAGAUGCUCAAAUUCUAAGGGUGAAAAUCUGAGAGCUCAAUUUCAUUCCUCUAAAAUCUGUCUUUUAUACAAUAAUUUGGGGGUAUUUAUAGUCUCCCACAAAAAAAGAACUUUGAACUCUUCAAAUGCCCGCUAAAAAAGUUAGUGGCCAUAAUUUACUCCCACUCCCUUUUGAAUCUCUACAAGAGUCACUUUAACAAGUAACUUCUCCCACCCUUUUGCCCCUGCAAGAAAUUAUAAAAUUAAAAUAAUAAAUAAAGUUUUCAAUUUAUAGCAACUUCAUCCGCUACUUCAACCAUGCAAAUAUUCACUUUCGAAACUUCAGAUUGUUCUUCCACAAUUGAAUCAGCUUGUAACACAUGAAAUAAUAGUUGAACCGAGCCUAUUUAAUUUUGUAGGUGAAGAAUAAAUGUUUGUUGAAUCUUCUUGGUCUUGGAUCAUGUAAUAGGUCCAGUUGGAACAUUUGGAACACCGUGAUCCUUAUUAGUUCCUCAAGGAACCACUUUGGGCAGGAGGAAAACCGUGUUGGCUUGAUAGUACUGUUACUGCUGUUUGCAUGACUGAACAGCUUAGAAAAUUGGUAAAAUCGCAUCCUCUCCGUGAGUCCUUAGAUCAACCUUGCUUCCUUCAUCAGUCCUCAUGAAAUGUAGGCCGAGUGAAGGCAUUUUUCCUAUGGAAUGUUGCACCGAGGACUUGUGCUACUAACCUACCGAACCUUGGUGUAGUUCCUUCUGACGUCACUUCCAGUCCACCAAACUGAUUAGGAUGGGCAACAUUUUCCCAUCCAACAAGAUGAUUCCUCUCGUUUUCUUGACAAAGGAUCUAUCAGUUAUUAUUUUUUUUCUUAUUAAAAAAACAGAUAUUCAAUCAUAGAUCCUGGUUUUCAAGGGUCUUCAAGAGGAAAGGUAGCAAAUUGGGUAAUUAGCGAGGACAAAUUCAACUGAGGUAAGUUUUUUUCCCUUUGAAAUAUGAGAUUUGGAUCAACAACGGUGUUGAAAUUUAGAUAAAUUUUCAGUCUUUUUCAUACAUCUUAAUGAAACGUUUUCGAUGUGAGGUAGGUUGUAUGUGUUUUAUGGACGGUUUAUUACCUGUUGCAACGGCCUUUGUACAUGUAUGUUAAAGUGAUGCUUCCUUCCAAUGUUUCCUUUACUUUCAAAUCCUGUUCAAAGUUGCAACUUUAAGUCUGGCUGCAUAAUCUUCAAUUUUUGUGUAUUCGUUUGCUAAGUUGAAUCAAUACAAAGUACUGUUUGGUUUACGACAUUGUUUUCUUUUUGUUGGAUACAGUAUCCUUUUCUCUUAAGAUGAAUCUUAAUGAAACCUUUUGAUUGAAUCUUCCUUUCAUUUUAUAAAAUGGAUGCCCAAGGGACUGCUUGAUGUAUUUUUUAAAAGUUGCUUAGACUGAAUAAGCUUUUUAACACUGGUUUUUUAAUUGUUUUUUAAAUUUCAAAACUGUUUGAACAUAUCUUUAUACAAGAUAGGUCCUAUUCAUGGUCGUUAAGUUUGACCAAUGGGGAUGAACACAGAUUGAUGACUUUUGUAAGGUCGCAAAGUUAUAAUUGAUAUUUCUUCUCCGAUGCCAAGUUUGUCCCAUAUGACAACUCAAUAUCUGGGUUUGGUGGCAACGUUGCUCAAUUUUCCCAACCUGUACGUAUUGUUUGGGCAGGUUUCUCUUGAUCGGUUUGAAGUUCUUUGGUUUUUUCUGAGGACUUGGCUCAAGGUACGACAAUCAUCUCAUCGAUACCACCUUGCCCUUUGUUGACAGCACAGCCUGUUCAAUAUCCGAAACAUCAAGGAACUGCAGCAACACAAGCAUUGCAGCUUUGUGUUCCUCAGCCAUUCAUGGCCAAUGGACACCAACCGCUUGCCGCAGCGCCAAACGUCAUUCCAGCUUUGCAGCCAUCCUUCCCAUUCAACCACCCAAUGCAACUGCCAGAAGCUAAUUCAUUCUUCAACGCCAAGUUCUAAUGAAUUUGCUUCUUUUGUUAAUUCUCAAUGUAGUCAACCCCAAGGUUUUAGCAAAAUUUUGAUCCUCUUAAAAGUUAUUUUCCCAAUUUGUAUUAAUUAUUAGCAUUUUUCUUUUCAUUGGAUUGUUUCCAUUCAAAUCAAAGACAUUUUACCUUUGAUUGGUGGAUGGGGCCUGUUGAACUAUGUAAAGGUCGAAUUAAAA